rnacentral:rRNA from 1 species
UACAGAGGUCUCAAGCGUUGUUCGGAUUCAUUGGGCGUAAAGGGUGCGUAGGUGGCGCCGUAAGUCAGGUGUGAAAUCUCGGGGCUCAACCCCGAAACUGCACUUGAUACUGCGGUGCUCGAGUACUGGAGAGGAGAUUGGAAUUUACGGUGUAGCAGUGAAAUGCGUAGAUAUCGUCUGGAACGCCGAAGGUGAAAACAGCUCGCUGGGGCUGCGCUGACGCUGAGACACGAAAGCCAGGGGAGCGAACGGG